rnacentral:rRNA from 1 species
GGACGAACGCUGGCGGCGUGCCUAACACAUGCAAGUCGAACGGAAGUUUUUCUUCGGAGAAACUUUAGUGGCGAACGGGUGAGUAACGCGUGAGAAACCUGCCUCUCAGUGGGGGACAACAGUUGGAAACGACUGCUAAUACCGCAUAAUGUAUCCGGAGGGCAUCCUUUGGAUACCAAAGCUUUAUGUGCUGAGAGAUGGUCUCGCGUCUGAUUAGCUAGUUGGCGGGGUAACGGCCCACCAAGGCGACGAUCAGUAGCCGGUCUGAGAGGAUGAACGGCCACAUUGGGACUGAGAUACGGCCCAGACUCCUACGGGAGGCAGCAGUGGGGAAUAUUGGGCAAUGGGCGAAAGCCUGACCCAGCAACGCCGCGUGAAGGAAGAAGGCCUUCGGGUUGUAAACUUCUUUUAGCAGGGACGAAGGACGUGACGGUACCUGCAGAAAAAGCAACGGCUAACUACGUG